GUUAUCACGGGAGACACACGGCGGGUGCUAACGUCCGUCGUGAAGAGGGAAACAACCCAGACCGCCAGCUAAGGUCCCAAAGUCAUGGUUAAGUGGGAAACGAUGUGGGAAGGCCCAGACAGCCAGGAUGUUGGCUUAGAAGCAGCCAUCAUUUAAAGAAAGCGUAAUAGCUCACUGGUCGAGUCGGCCUGCGCGGAAGAUGUAACGGGGCUAAACCAUGCACCGAAGCUGCGGCAGCGAACGUAUCACCCAAGACAACUUUACGGAGUUGACGAUUGACGGAGCGAAGCGACGUCAAAGCGUUCAUUAAAGUCGAGUUGGCUUAGGGAUACGUUCGUUGGGUAGGGGAGCGUUCUGUAAGCCUGCGAAGGUGGCCUGUGAGGGUUGCUGGAGGUAUCAGAAGUGCGAAUGCUGACAUAAGUAACGAUAAAGCGGGUGAAAAGCCCGCUCGCCGGAAGACCAAGGGUUCCUGUCCAACGUUAAUCGGGGCAGGGUGAGUCGACCCCUAAGGCGAGGCCGAAAGGCGUAGUCGAUGGGAAACGGGUUAAUAUUCCCGUACUUGGUGUUACUGCGAA
rnacentral:rRNA from 1 species